CGGGGUGCGAAUCCCCGGCUGCCCCGCAACGGUGAUGCCGCAAGGCUAAGCCCGG
rfam:Elusimicrobia bacterium GWB2_63_22 gwb2_scaffold_21, whole genome shotgun sequence.